GAUGUCCCUUGUCUCAGGCUGGUGCAAAGACAGGCAGAGUCAGGCCCCUUCUCUUAAGUCUUACCAAGAUUAGCAAUUGAUCUAACAAAAUGAUUAAUAUUCAAAUGAGAGUCAGUGCUGGUUGCAGAAACAUCCUUCUGCAAACAGCCUGCAGCCUGCCAGAACCCACAGGCAAGAUUUUAUACUUUCUUUUGAAAAACAGAGCAUGAAGUCCAACUCCUUCUGGUUUGCAGUCCCCAGUGUGCACGGAGUCAGGAGAAGCAGAAGAGUGGAGUGAGCAGGGAAGGGAAGAUGAGGAAUCUGCCAUGUCAUGAGAGAGAUCAUCUCAUUCAGAGUCCUCUUUCACUUUUAAACACUUAAAAUGCAACAGAUCAACAGGUUCUUCUAUCAGCCAAUUUUAGCACCAGGUUGUGCUUUGACUUGCAUACAGAAGAGCUGUGUAGAUGGCAGCUGGGCUAACACCCCAUGCAGUGCAGGAUGUCUCUGGACUGGAAGUUUGCACGUCAGGAAUGAGCUGCACAGGUAACUGGUUCUGACAAGCCCAUCUCCUCCAGAGACUGGAAACUUCCUUCCUCACCUGUGCAAAACUUAGCAGAUUUACCCUGCUAGGCUUUGCUAUCAUGCUGCUGGCACUGAGGAUGCUUCACUCUGUCACAUUUUGUAGUGGGCAGAAGGGGGAUGUGCAAGGGAUCAGCUACAACCCUCAGCGAGUGAGCAUCUGGGCAGUUCUCAGCUGCCUGCUGGGUUAACCCACAGCAGAAGGUAGACAUGUCCCAUCCCAUGGAGACAUGCCUGCCAGAACUGCCUGCCUCUACAGCCUCUAGACAAAACCACAACUAACACAGUUAAGUGAAGAUUCAAAGCCGCAUAGAUCCUGUCCAUGCAAGUACAUCUAACAAAACAGCAUCAGAAGCUUAGCCUGACUUCUACGUGAUUGAUUAUUUUUUCUCAUGACUAAUGUUUUGAGUAUAUUUGAUUAUAAAAAUAAAAUAAUGAAGAGAAAUGUUUUUCUUCUGACUCAUGCCUGCUUUGAAGAGUGAUGUUUCUUCGUUUUCUAACUUGAUUUAUUCAGCUAAUCAACUUGACCUCAUGCAGACAUUCUGGUUUCAUGCCUGAAUGGGGAGGAGGAGGGUUUUGUGUGAGUGCAAAAGGGAGAGGGACUAAGCAGAAAAUUGAAGCCCAAAGUUUUGAGAAGCAAAUUAAAAUAUGUAUUUAUUAAAAUCAUUGCUUACAAAGAUUUUCUCCUGCCUCCUCUGCAUUGUAUUGUGUAAUCUCACACUGAAAUUAAG
rnacentral:lncRNA from 1 species